AGAGUUUGAUCAUGGCUCAGAAUCAACGCUGGCGGCGUGCCUAACACAUGCAAGUCGAGCGGGAAAGGGGGCUUCGGCCCCUGAGUAUAGCGGCGGACGGGUGAGUAACACGUGGGUAAUUUGCCCUUGGGUGUGGAAUAACUCAGGGAAACUUGAGCUAAUACCGCAUGACAUCCUUUUCCCAUACGAGGAGAGGAUCAAAGCCGGGGACCCUUCGGGGCCUGGCGCCUGAGGAGAAGCCCGCGCCCGAUUAGCUAGUUGGUGAGGUAAUGGCUCACCAAGGCUUCGAUCGGUAGCCGGCCUGAGAGGGCGGACGGCCACACUGGGACUGAGACACGGCCCAGACUCCUACGGGAGGCAGCAGUGGGGAAUUUUUGUCAAUGGGGGAAACCCUGAACAAGCAACGCCGCGUGAAGGACGAAGACCUUCGGGUUGUAAACUUCUGUCGGAGAGGACGAAAGCGGUCGAGGCUAAUAUCCUCGGCUGUUGACGGUACCCUACGAGGAAGCCCCGGCUAACUCCGUGCCAGCAGCCGCGGUAAUACGGGGGGGGCAAGCGUUGUUCGGAAUUACUGGGCGUAAAGGGCGCGUAGGCGGGCGGACAAGUCUCUCGUGAAAUCCCACGGCUCAACCGUGGAACUGCGGGAGAUACUGUCUGUCUUGAGUCCGGGAGAGGAGGGUGGAAUUCCCAGUGUAGCGGUGAAAUGCGUAGAUAUUGGGAGGAACACCGGUGGCGAAGGCGGCUCUCUGGACCGGUACUGACGCUGAGGCGCGAAAGCUAGGGGAGCAAACGGGAUUAGAUACCCCGGUAGUCCUAGCCGUAAA
rnacentral:rRNA from 1 species